rnacentral:rRNA from 1 species
AUGAACGCUGGCGGCGUGUUUUAGGCAUGCAAGUCGAACGACGAGUUUACUCGCUCGUGGCAAACGGGUGCGUAACACAUUGGUAACCUACCUUGAAGACGGGCAUAACCCCGGGAAACUGGGGCUAAUACCCGAUACGUUGUUUUCUCGCAGGAGAGAACAGCAAACGGCUUCGGUCGCUUCAAGAGGGGCCUAUGGCUUAUCAGCUUGUUGGUGGGGUAAUGGCUCACCAAGGCUUUGACGAGUAGCGGGUGUGAAAGCACGACCCGCCUCACUGGGACUGAGACACUGCCCAGACUCCUACGGGAGGCUGCAGUCGAGAAUCUUCCCCAAUGGACGAAAGUCUGAGGGAGCGACGCCGCGUGAUGGAAGAAGCCCUUCGGGGUGUAAACAUCUUUUUUUGGGGAACAAGGAAACUGAGUGUACCCAAAGAAUAAGGGGCUGCUAACUUCGU